rnacentral:rRNA from 1 species
GACGAACGCUGGCGGCGUGCCUAAUACAUGCAAGUCGAACGCAGUGGGGACGGGUUAGUAACACGUGGGUAACAUCCCAUCAGGGGGGAUAACACUUGGAAACAGGUGCUAAACCGAUCCUGAUGGCAGGACCCGCGGUGCAUUGGCUCGUUAGUGAGGUAACGGCUCACCAGGGCCACGAUGCAUAGCCGCCCUGAGAUGGGGAAGGGCCACAGUGCGACUGAGCCACGGCCCAGACUCCGCCGGGUGGCAGCAGUGGGGAAUCUUCGGCAAGGGACGAAAGUCUGACCGAGCAACGCCGCGUGAGUCAAGAAGGUGCUCGGAUCGGAAACCUCGGUUGUGAGAGAAUCGGUAUCUACCCAUAAAGCCACGGCUAACUACGCGCAAGCAGCCGCGGUAAUAC